rnacentral:lncRNA from 11 species
CAAGCGUAGAUGCUUCUUAAAUAUGAGAUCCACAUUGAUUGGUGUCAAAAAGUCUUGUGUGAUGGGUUCAUGGGUGUGAGGUUGACAGAAGCUGGGGCUAACAGCUUGAAAAUUGAAUGGACAAAAUAUGGACAAAAUAAUACAAGAAGCACUGACACACAUUGAAUUGGAGCAGAGCCAAACACAUGCAAUUAAGACUAUGAGACAGCAUUACAUUUGAAUACAUCAUACUACAGUUGAUGAAUGAGAAAAAUUAUAGACUACUAUCAAAAGAAGUGCAAAACUGUAUUUAAAGGAACACAACCUGAAGAAGAACUUCCCGAAACAAGGACUAUUUACCCAGGAUUACCUGUUGUUGUGUUGUACUUAUACUAGAGAUUAUGGACAAUUUUGCCUUUUGACAUCCAUGUAUGCUGUGCUGCAUGCGUUUAUUAUAUAGACGAAUGAGGACCCAGUUGGGUCUAUAGGAGAGAGGAUCUAACAGAAAUAUACGUGUCUAUAUAUCCUUUAUGAUAAUAUAUAUAUGUGUUUGAAUGGUGAA